UACGAAGGGGGCUAGCGUUGUUCGGAAUUACUGGGCGUAAAGCGCACGUAGGCGGAUUUGUAAGUCAGGGGUGAAAUCCCGGGGGCUCAACCUCGGAACUGCCUUUGAUACUGCAAAUCUCGAGUCCGAUAGAGGUGGGUGGAAUUCCUAGUGGUAGAGGUGAAAUUCGUAGAUAUCAGGAGGAACAGCCGGUGGCGAAGGCGGGUCUCUGGGCCGUAACUGGACGACUGGAGGAGCGAAAGCGUGGGAGCGAACAGG
rnacentral:rRNA from 1 species